UACGGAGGAUCCAAGCGUUAUCCGGAUUUAUUGGGUUUAAAGGGUGCGCAGGCGGAAGAUUAAGUCGGCGGUGAAAUUUUGCAGCUCAACUGUAAAAGUGCCAUCGAUACUGGUUUUCUUGAGUGUGGAUGAAGUAGGCGGAAUUUGUGGUGUAGCGGUGAAAUGCAUAGAUAUCACACAGAAUAUCGAUUGCGAAGGCAGCUCACAAAGCCAAGAUUGACGCUGAGGCACGAAAGUGUGGGGAUCAAACAGGA
rnacentral:rRNA from 1 species